CCAGAUCUUCUGAAAGGGAGUGGGAUAUGGUUACAGUAAUUUCUGUAAUGGAUUAUUUUCCCUUCAGAACCCAGUUUAUCUUUUGUUACGAACAGCGUUUCUGUGAACUGGAGCUCAAGGCAUUAUGGAUCUCUCCUCCUUUUAUCUCUACAAAAUACACCUGUGAGUGGUACAGGUAAGACUGGACCGCAGGGCCAAAGUCCAAGGAUCUGCAGCGCAUGAGGGCUCAAGGUGACCAUACAGAGUGACAGGCGAUGGGAAGUGGCAACAAGGCUCACCAUUAACAUUUGGGCUGACAAAGGACACUUCCUCAUAGCAUCCGUUCCACUCUCUAUUCCCUCCAGAGCUUUUGGAAACUAGCUACAGUGGUACCUCGAGUUACGAACAC